rnacentral:rRNA from 1 species
AGCCCAUCAGCUAGCCCCCCAACAAAAAACAACACACCCCCAUAAAUAACCCCACAUGCACUUACAUCAAACUAAACAAAUCAUUUUCCCACCCAAGUAUGGGCGACAGAAAAGGAACUAGC